AGUUGCUAUGCUUGCUGUAUAUCCUGAACUGAGUUUAAAAAAAGAAAAAAAGAAAAAAGGAAUCUUGCACUCCAUGGAUGAGGCUUUCCAGGCUCUCGGUGUUGCAUUUCGGGGUUUCUUUCUUGAGGUUUCGCAGACUCGGGCAUGUUCUUUUAUCUGUUGGGCUCUGUGGGAAUAUCUCUGUUUUUUCAUUACAUGGGAAAAAAGGUCUGGUUCUGUAUGUGGGCAUUUGGCCUUGUUGGGGGUAAAAAAAAAGUGUCUUUAUUUGCAAAAUCGAGAAUAGGAGAUUCAUUUCUGAGAGGAAAGGAAGAUUCAUAGGAGUGAACUAAAGAUAAAAGUUUGUCUUUUGUUUUUUAUUUAUGUUGAUGGAAACCAAUGGUUUAGGUGGCUGGUGGCGUGAUCUUUGGAGGUAUUUGUGAACUGAAGAUUCGUUGAUGGAACCAGAUGGAGAUGGAGAGAGCCAAGCUUGAGAAGGAGCAGAAGAGGGCUCGAGGAUGAGAGAACGGUGCUUCUCUUCUGCCAAGAAGGAGCUCCAAUUGCUCGCUCUUCAACAGCAGCAGCAACAUUCAUCCAACAAAAGGAGCGGCAGCGGCGAUGAGGGUUGAAAGUUGAAGGAUUUUGAAAAAAACUGAAAGGAAAAACUCCAGGUCACGCAAAGCCUUCGCCCCCAAUUCAAAAAUUGUUUCGAUUGUGUGUUUCGUUUGACCGGACGGCAGCUCUGCAACAAGGAAGAAAGCUCCGACCACCAACCCAACCAUGGCCCCUUCGAAGGUGGAGACGCUGUGUGACUUGUUCGAUGGAGGUUUGAUAGCUUUGGACCGUGUUCUUACAAAAAGUUCGAGUCUUUCAAAAUGGGCAUCGGGAAUUGCUAGAUCGAGAGUUAGAAUUCUAUAACUAAGACAGGCCAACGCAAGUUGGUUCUUUCUUGAGGCAUAGAUCACCAACCACCAACCAAGAUAACUCAUGUUGGAUCUGUGAGAUGAGGUAUCGAAUGUUAAAGCUACUACUAGAUUGUGUUUCCUGAGUAUAAAAUGCAGGUACCUGUGUAAUCUGCCUUCUAGUUUUUGGAGUGCUUUUGGUGUGGACUUUAUGCAGGAACAUUCACCAUACUUUGGAUCCUUGACCCACAUAAUGCAAUACAAAGGGGAAAAUGAUGUUUUGUUGCUAGCUAAACAUCUCUAAACUCUCAUCAUCAUAUUGAAAGCUAAUUUAUCAAUUCCCUAUGAUUGGCCACCAUUGUCCAAUUUUUUUAAAAGAUUUUUAAUCCUUGUACAGAUCUUUUGUCCAUCUUACUCUAAUAUUUGGUUCAAGUCCAUUCAUCAGUGAUUUUUCUAAUAUAUCUUGCCUUAUGCUGUCAAAAUAUUCUAAAUCUCCUUCUCUUUCAUACCUGUCUUUUUUCUUUUGUUGUUUUAUCUCUGACUUUAUUGGGCAGGAAUCUGUUUUUAGAUAGAAGAUGGCAACCCCAGAAGAAAACAAUGAUGUGAAAACUCUUGAAACACAGCCCAACAAGCGGAGAAAAAAGAAGUCCAUCAUCUGGGAACACUUCACAAUAGAAAUUAUGAGUCCUGGAUGUAGAAGGGCGUGCUGUAAGCAGUGCAAGCAAAGUUUCGCCUAUGGCACAGGCUCAAAGGCCGCUAGCACCAGCCAGCAAAGUAAGAUGUGAUGAAUCAUUGAGUGAACUGAUCUUGUCAAGUGCAGAAAUUUUAGAAUUACCUAAAUCCAUUGGAGGCCAACCUUAUCUCUUUCGUCCUUUGACAGAGAAGGAACAGAUAUUUAACAGUUUCAGAUUCCUUUUUGCAAAGAGGGCAUGUCGACUCAGGUUCCGCUGAGAGAGUUAGCAAGAUAGGACUAUGGUCCGAGCCUAUAGCAAAGGAUAGUAACUCGAGAACCUAAGGCAUCUAAUUCUUCCACUGAAGAUGCACGAGAGGCAGACAACUUACUUCCUGUGAGAAAAGUACAGCAGAAGCAGCUAUUCCUGUAAAUUCGUUCUCGGGUUGUAUCCUGAUAUACAGUAAUGGCAAAAUACUGUCCAAAGACAAUGCAGUGCUCUGGGAGGCUGAUGGGGUAGCGGGGAAUUUUGGGUUUGAUAUUUGGGCGAGGAUUAACCAGGGUUGUUCCUUACUGCAUCAGAAGCGAGGACUUCCAACUACAACUAUAAUCUUGACAUAGGAACAGCUCAGUAGCAAUUUUAGGAGUAAAAAUUGACUUGGGAGAUACUAGUCAUGCUCUUUAUUAUCAUUUGCACAUUAGUUGAUGCGUGUCUCUGAAUUU